rnacentral:lncRNA from 1 species
AGCCCUCCCUCAGGAAGUAUGACAUACUGCCGGAACUGUGGCUAAUGGUGCGGACCACCCUGCUCACUGUUAGCAAAGUGGGUAGCUACCCUCUCUUCUGGAAGCCCCUCUGCAGCACUCCUCUUGGGAGUAGAAAAGGAAGUGGUCAAGACCUACAUUUGGGAGCUGAUCCGUCUUGCUCUCAGUUAGGGCCCAGCCCUUCUGUGGGGACCAGGAAAAUCUUUGCUCACCUGGAGAAGCUGCUGGUUCAGCCCAACUUUAUCUAACGCCAAAGCCUCAUUUAAGGCACUGAGCUUGACAGCUGCAGCCCGAAGAUCAGCUACUUCUGUCUUCAGGGUGUUUUCAGAACUCGACAGCUCUGCAAUUGACUGCUCUGCCUAAAAAACAAAAAGGAUUAAAGAGUUUCAUAUUUCCAAUUUUCCUGGAACAGUAAACAGUUCACAUUCCCAACACUGCUGCUUUUUGGUACAGAGAUCAGUUAAUACUCCAUUCCCUCUCCUGCAUUCUAAACAAGUUUUCCCUUCAUUCAUUCAUUAAGGAGUGAGACAGGACCUCACAGUAUAGAGAUACCAAAGUUAGGAUAGAGAAAUGACUAUGAUUGUAAUGAUGCCACAGAAAAUGUA